rnacentral:lncRNA from 1 species
NNNNNNNNNNNNNNNNNNNNNNNNNNNNNNNNNNNNNNNNNNNNNNNGAGAUGGGGGUUGCAUAACCCGAGCGAUGUGCGGAGAGUCGGAGUGAGCAAGCGGGUUAUAUAUAGCUGCCCCGUCUGUAGCCUGCGGGGCUUGAUUCUUCUGUUGAAAUAUUAUCUUUGGACGUGGUAAAAAUAUUUGCAGAGAAAAAUCUAGACUACUCGUACAUAUUUGAGCAUAUGUUCCUGCAGCUAAAGGCAUAAGGGCAGAACGUGACACGAUCGGGGUUUAUUUCCCCGCCGCUGCUGUCAGCGCUGCUCCCGGCCGGGUGCGUUCCCUCCCGCCGCGCCGGCACAGAAAACGAAGGCGCUGCCGCUGCGGGCCCGCGCUGCUGCCGGGCUGCGGGCGGUGCGGGAACGGGACUCGUUAGGAAUCACGGAGCGAAAUUGUCGGGGCGGAGGGGAAAAGCGGAGAGACGGGAGGGUUACUGCCAACGGCGCGGGGAGGCCACGGGCUGCCGCGGGCGGGACGUGCCCGGCUCUGGGUCAGCCUCUGCCGCGGAAGGAAAGCGAAAAUCUGGAAAUGAAGUCCUGCACCCUACUACGACGGCUGCUGCUCGCGCUGUGCUUGCCCGGGCCGUUUCUCAGCUCAUCCCCGUAUCCCCGUGUGCCUACCUAAAGCCCGGGCCGCGUUUGCCGGGAUCUCGCCAGACCCGCGGGCCCCCGUCAGAGCGCUGCGAAGCGAAUCCCCGCCUCGCUGAGCACCGAGAACUCGAGGCAGGGGGAAGAGCCGGACUCCCCCGCCGCUGGCACACAUCUCUUAAGCCCCCAAAUCCUCGGGCCCCGGAGGUGGGAGAACCAUCGGCGGCACUGGAAAAACCGCUCACCGUACCGCAUCCCCGCGACCCCCCGACGGCAGCCUCGGCCUCGCCGGUGCACCCCGAGUCCGGGCAUCGCCGCUUCCCUAUGAUUCCACUGCCCUCCCCGGGGUCUCUUCCCUCAGCAGGCGACCGCUGCCGUUGGGGCCCCGCACCCCAGACCUUUCAGACGUACUCCUCGCGGCUCCAGUCAGAACCGGGGCCGUGCCACACCGGGCCUCUGCCCUUUGUAUCUCCCGGGUCGGCCGUCCCCGCACAGCCCGCGCCCGGGCUGCCCCGCAGGUGUGUGCCGCUGCCCCGACGGGCUCUCCCCGCAGAGCCCCCCCGCCGCCUCAUUCCCUCCGUCCGCCCUCCACACUCACCCCUCCG